GAAAUGCGAUAAGUAAUGUGAAUUGCAGAAUUCAGUGGAUCAUCGAAUCUUUGAACGCACAUUGCGCCCGCCAGUAUUCUAGCGGGCAUGCCUGUUCGAGCGUCAUUUCAACCAUCAAGCCCCCGGCUUGUGUUGGGGACCUGCGGCUGCCCGCAGGCCCUGAAAAACAGUGGCGGGCUCGCUGUCACACCGAGCGUAGUAGCAUACAUUCUCGCUCAGGGCGUGCUGCGGGUUCCGGCCGUUAAACGACCUUCAUAACCCAAGGUUGACCUCGGAUCAGGUAGGAAGACCCGCUGAACUUAAGC
rnacentral:misc_RNA from 1 species